rnacentral:rRNA from 1 species
AAUCAACGCUGGCGGCGUGCCUCAGACAUGCAAGUCGAACGAUUAAAGCUCCCUUCGGGGAGUGUAUAGAGUGGCGCACGGGUGGAGUAACACGUAAGUAAUCUACCCUCGAGUGGGGAAGUAACGUCCGGAACGGACGCUAAUACCGCAUAAUGCAGCGGCACCGCAAGGUGACAGUUGUUAAAGAUUUAUUCGCUUGAGGAGGAGCUUGCGGCAGAUUAGCUAGUUGGUAAGGUAAUGGCUUACCAAGGCUACGAUCUGUAACCGGUCUAAGAGGACGGUCGGUCACACUGACACUGAAUAACGGGUCAGACUCCUACGGGAGGCAGCAGUCGGG